AAAACACAAAGAAAAUCAGUCCUGUUGGGGAUGAGGAAUGAACAUGGCUCUAUUGUGCUCAAACAGAAAAGCUCCUAGAAUGUGCAAAUCAUCAGUGCAUCAUUUCUGGAAUUUGGGCAGAAAAUGGCUGAAUAUGAAAGAGUGCAUCAAGAGGUAGAAGGAAAACUGGUACUGAAAACAUUUGUCUUCACUCACAUGGUCCAGACUAAAGAGAAGUGGGUCUGAGGUCUUUGUUGACGGUGUAUUCAGUGGCCACCAAGUGCAGCACUGCAGCCUGAAACUGUGAUGACUGAAUUCCCAAACAGCUCUGUGACAGCACAGAUGUAACUACAGCCCAUAAAAGAAACUUCUCAACUGAGAACUAGUUGUGGAGGGAUUUUUAAGCCCAUACCUCCAACAACCUUCAAUGGGAAUCAAUGGAAAGCACGGGGGACCUUCAGAGACUCCAGCCACACAAGCCAUGGAUUGCUCUCACCGUUACCAUCAGGCAGAUGUUAUCGCAGAACCCUCACCAGCAGACUGCAUGACAAGUUCCAUCCACAGGAAAUCAGACUGAACUGAACUCGUAACACCACACACACACCAGUAGCCUCAUUUGCACUGCACUCUAUCAGUUACGCCACUGUGAGACUCUGACUCACUAUUAUUCUCCACCCUGACAUUCUGUUUGCACUAAUUCAUACUGUACUGCACUGCAAAGGUAUAUGUAAAGUAUACAGUGAUUGUUGUUUAUUGUUUUCAUUUUGUGCUCUCUGUAUAGUAUAAUAUUGCACUAUAUAUUAUUUUCUACCUGUUUUGAGCCCUUAUGUAUACUAUGUAUAUUUUUAAUACUGUAUAUGUGUUGCAGAUAUGUUCAAUACUUGUCAUUCUGUCAUGCUGCAGAGUUUGCACAAAAGCAUUUCACCAUCUGUAUACUUGCAUUCAUGGUAUUGUGAUAAUAAAGUGAUUUGAUUUGAAUUGGUCACAUGACUUGUUCAUCAGUUGUACUGUUGUGCUGGAUAACAAUUGCAAAUUGUUUAUGACACUGAAGAAGAUUAUGAUAGGGACAUGGAUAGAAAACCAGGAGAGCUCUGAUGA
ensembl:lncRNA